rnacentral:rRNA from 1 species
CCUACGGGCGGCAGCAGUAGGGAAUAUUGCUCAAUGGGGGAAACCCUGAAGCAGCAACGCCGCGUGAAGGAAGACGGUUUUCGGAUUGUAAACUCCUUUUGUUAGAGAAGAUAAUUACGGUAUCUAACGCAUAAACACCCGCUUACUUCGUGCCAGCAGCCGCGGGAAUUCGGAGGUUGCAAGCGUUACUCGGAAGCACUGGGCGUAAAGAGGGCGUAGGCGGGAUAGCAAGUCAGAUGUGAAAUCCUAUGGCGUAACCAUAGCACUGCAGUUGAAACUGUUAUUGUAGAGUGUAGGAGAGGUAGGCGGAAUUCUUGGUGUAGGGGGAAAAUGCGUAGAGAUUAAGAGGAAUACUCAUUGCGAAGGCGACCUGCUAGAACAUAACUGACGCUGAUGCGCGAAAGUGUGGGGAGCAAACAGGAUUAGAUACCCGUGUAGUC